ACCUGACUUCCUGUUGGUGUUGCUGAGCUUAGUUGCGGGUUACUUUUCCGAAGCCUCCAUCGCAGCUGGUAGGUGUUUACUCAUUGUAGUGUAUAUAUUACUUUGCUUGAUGGUAAACAGCUAUUGUUUGUAGGUCGUAGCUGUAGAAGCCUCCUCUGAGCCAUUCUGCUUACGUUUUAUGACACGGCUUACUUGAUGCGGAGUGCCGACGUGGAGGAGACCAGGGUGCCUUGGUGGUGGGAUCCUCUGAGUGUACACACCUGCCUUGUUUAAUUUAUAGUGAUAAAAGCAAAGCAGCAGCUACUUUGGUGUGGGAUUCCACAGCUGUGUUACAGAGAUGGAGGAAGAGUUACAGGAACUCAGGGACUUGAUCGCGCAGCUGAAAGCAGACAAUGAGAGGCUGCGCCAGGAGAGGGCUGUUGAGUCAGAUGCGGAGUGCCGACGUGGAGGAGACCAGGGUGCCUUGGUGGUGGGAUCCUCUGAGUGUACACACCUGCCUUGUUUAAUUUAUAGUG